CAUUUAGCUGCUUCCUGACAUGAGCUCCCUAUGGACUCCCAUUUCUAUGUGUAAAUCCCUCCCUUCAGCACAUAGUCUAGGGAGUUGAUUUUUAACCUGGGCAGUAGGCGAUGUGCUUCAACUAUUAAUAUGUAGCUCUGUGGUGAUGGCAUUGACAUAGAGGAGGAGAUUGCUGGAGAUCCAGUCCUUACACAGUGAGGCUGGAAAAGAGCCAGUUGUUGGAUAAAAUGCAGGAAACAGAACAGGCUGAGAGACAUUCAGGAUAUGAAUUUGUACCUCAGCACGGGCAUACCUGUGAUAGGAAUGGUGAAGACUUCAGAUUCUCCAUCUAGUUCUUUUGUAUAUUGAAUCAUGCAAAGUAUGGAUUAUGCAAAACAGCCCACCUCUAAUUUCGAGUGAAAGGAGAGACAGGUCAACACUUUACAGGACUUUACAGGACAGAACUCUAAGCACUGCAAGAGAUCCUGACACCAGUGAAUGAGUCCAUGCAGCAGAUCAUAAACACAUCACCAAGUCAUGAUAUUGGAACAUCACUUCCUGCCGAUACCUAAAUAUUAAUUUCCUAUCACAGAAACGAAACUCUCAUAAAUCUCAGUGCUUAUAAUGUCUGCUAUCGAAAGAUCGGGUCACUGAGAAGAAGAAGAAUGCGACGGAACGUGGCAAAAACGUUCAGCUGUUCCUGUGACAAACAGAGCCGAGGGAGAUUCUCUUCCCCUAUCUUCUAAAGAGGCUUUUAAAACGUUCGUUGUGGAGCAACAGGUAGUUGUUAACAUCUCUAAAGGGUGGCCCGUCCGUGCAUAGAUGUGGAGGUGGAAUUCGGAGCACUUGUCUGACCCAAGCAGGAAGGGGCUGUUCCGUUUAACGAGGGCAAGCCCAGCCACAAAGAAGUGAUAAUGGAGAUGCCAUUGACGACAGGGAUACAUGCAGAAGCCACAGAGAUUCCUCCUUUUGUCUCCGGACUGAUCACAAGGAUCAGAAUUCAUUCACACAUAGAAAGAAACAAUUGCCCGAAGUGCCCGAAGGAAAUGCAGAGAGCCGAGUCCCAGGUAGUGUAAACUAAGAAUCUUUCUGUUCAUGCAGAAGAAAAAUAUGCUCGUUCCAAGUCCACAUGCAUAGAUAGCGAGCUGAACUUUUAAUUUUUUUUUAAACAGAAUUAGGCAAGUACUUUCUCUGCUUCCUCCCACAAAAUGCCUUGGGAUCUUUCAGCAGAUUCCAACCAUCGAGUUGUUGCCUUUUCCAUUUGGUCUAAAAGAAAUCUACGUUUUGUUUUUGUUUUUUUGUCCUCCCCAAUUAGAUAAUCUUUAUUUUUCAUUCAUCUCAGGUCUAGCUGCGUCGCUUUGACCUCUCUGUGAGGCCUGGGUAAAUCCUGAAGAUGCUGGGCCACAAUUCUUAAGAAGGAAACUUCAAGUUCUUUCCGCUUCACUUCCCCUUCACAUGUCUGAGGCAGUUAGCGUUGCUGCCCCAUAGUCUGCGUGGCAGGAGCUGUGUGCUAGCUGUGGCACCCAUUGUCUGCAUUUUUCCUCUCGUUAGUCUCCUUGACCUUUCAUUGUCUUACUCCUGCAGUGUCAGGUCAGACUUAGUGUAGGUCUCCCUUCACUAAGGACCCCUUUCCUUUCGUGGAUCACUAAGCAGGACAAUUGCUCUAUCCAUCUUUUCAGGGUCUAUUGUCGAGCCCCCCCUGAGCUGAGAAAGGUUUGAUUCACUGGGAAACCAUUUUGGUCAAAGGGAAGCCUGACUAUGUGUCCUUUUAGGAACUCUGUCUUAAUCACUGACUUUUUUAUCUGGGAUAUGAAGAGGAUUCAGGAGAUCAAAAGGUUUGGGAGUACAUGGGUUUGACCACAUUUUUCCUGGAAAUAAUGGGAAACCUCCACUGAAAAAUGAGCUCCGUUACAAUGGGCAAACAAGAAGGAAAGCCACAUAGUGUUCCCAGAGCAUUCUGAAUCAUCGGACCUUCAAUAGCUUCCAUAAAGAAGGGAAAAAGUAAACAGAAAAAGUAAAUGGAAUGUAAUAAUUAAUGGACCUGAAGAAUAAGACUCAUUUUAUUUGCGCAUAAUCGGUGCUUUUGAAAAAAAGAUAAGUCAAAAGGAAUUGACAGAGCAGAUGGAGAAGACUUCUUGAUGACUGGAAGUUCAGUUGGGCUGAGCAUGUAGCAGACACACAUGUAGUUACUCAGAAUUAGUAGCUUGUGUCACCUUGACAAGUGACUGUACACUCAGUGGUUCGAUAUUCUUCCUAGGACCAUGAUGCGGAGGCCUUGCUGAAGCACCACAGUGGAACUAUGCUGGGUUUGAAGGAACUACCUUUGUCACUAGGUGUUACAUGUUCAGCCACAUACAUGCCAAUGCCUUGAAAAUUUCAUCUUGUGAGGGACAGACAUCCAGACAUCUACUUUUUCUAGGCAUUAUUUGUGCCUUUCCUGGCUAUGGAAUGCACCCCAGUAUUAGCAAGUUUAUAUUUAAACUUCAAUAUUUGCUCACAUAUUUUCCUGAGUCAAAUAAAAAGUGCCAGCUGGAUGUUAUGAGUGCCUUUGUACUGGCCUUUGGAUGAGGAGCUGCAGCAGGCUUCAAACAAGGUCAAACUUACACGUUAUACCUUUAUUCCCCAGCAAGAAAGGGGGGAAAUAAGCCUUUAAAAUACAAAACAAAACAAAACAGAAACCUAGAAAACUCAUCUUAAAAGAAAAAUUCUCACCAGGUAUGAAGACUAUAAAGUGAUACCAUACCAGACCACACGUCUGAAAUGUUUCGAGGAGAGAUGAGUGUAGAACUGGAUGAGAUGCGAAGCAUUCCUAUUUUCUAUACUGAAAUUUCUGAACCUGAUGUUUCUUCAUUGGAAAACAGACAUAACCCUUUGGAUGCUUACAUUAAGUAUGCUUAGAACAAUUUGUUUUUUGUUGUUGUUGUUUUGUUUUGUUUACUGGUGUAUCUGUAUACAGUAACUUUCAUGCCAUCUUAAUGUGCUCCUGCCAUUUAACUUCACACUGUCAGCUGAUCUCUUAAUGUCAGCAGUGCAACUUUCUGUCAACACUACUAAGUAGAGGUGUCCAGGAUAUUAAAUAUGCUUGAAUUUAUAUACAAGAGGAAGGGAAAAAGUGAUUCAAGCUCUUCCUGAACUGCAGAAAGACCUGAAUUGUGCUUUGGUGGAACUGCUCCAGAACAAAAACUUCUGCUCCAGAAGAGUAUUUAGUUCUGAUUCUUAGUAGCACUAAAUAUCUUUUUUUUUUUUUUCUAUUAACAAGUGCCAAACACAUGAGGAGAAAAUAUGAGCUGGUAGAAUUAGUAUAGCUGCAGUUUUACACUUCCUAAAGGUAGGAGAAUGCUCUAGGAUACAUUUCAGAUACAUGAGGGAAGGCCUUCAUAUAACGGAAAUGCAGUCUCGUGACAUUAAACUGUUUUGGAAAACGGUUGCAUUUUAUGUAAUGUUCAACCCUGAUAAAGAGAAUUUUGCUGAAUAUUUCUAAGCACUAUCUAUCACAAAUUAAGAGUAUGUGGAAAAGCCACCAAUUUCACCUGUGUAGUGGAAAUGCUAAGUCACAGCCUGAAGCAGUGAUUGAGCACCUGGUGGGAAGGCAGGGCCAACCCAGGGGAGCUCAGGUGCACACAAUGCCCCUUCCCAGACCUCAUUUAUGGGUUGGCAGUGGAGGCAAUGCUAUUUUGCUAGAGAUGCCUGUGGCCUUCUAAGGGUGAGUAGAGUCUUUCUGUUUUCUUUCUGCAUUCAUAGUCGCUGCAUUUGAGCAUAUCCUUACUAGUUGCAGUCUAGGACUUUGCUACUAUACAGUCAUUGCUGUGCGUUGUGUUAGAACCUGGUAUUCCAUUAUGCAAGUUACUUAUUUUCUAUGUGUUUUUGAUGACUUUAUGAUGGGAACCUAACCCUUUAACUGCACUGUGCCUCACGUGGCUAAAAAUGUUACAUCAAAAUGUACUUAAUGAGUAAGAGAGAUAAAUGUUUUCAUUAACUUCAAUGGCUAACAUUAAGGCUAUUGAUAGAAAACAUCCUACAUGAAGAAAGCUUCUAUCUGUUACUAAAGUUACUCCUUUAACCUACCCAUCAGCAGGGCGUUGUAGGCAAAGGCUUUCUAAUGCAGUUUUGUCAAAACCAGCUAGGUUAUUUCAAUCUGAGCAUCUGUUACGUGGCAGCCUUUAAAGAAAUUAUGUUUACCUCAUUUAAAGGUCUUGUAUGUCAUACUGCCUGGAUGUUUUGAGUGAUCUUAUAUUGUUUAGCAUUCCUUGAGUCUCAAAAUGUGUCUUGGGUGGGCUGCUACUCUUCUUCCCUUUGAGAACACCAUGCUCUCCCUAGGUAUCCUCACAAUUCAGCCUUUCUUGAUGAGCUGACUUUAGUAAAAGUGAUUAUGGACCUCAGGAGAAACUAAUUUUCCUGAUUGAGAAUUAGGUCAAGAAUUUAACUUAGCACAGAUAAGUCUCAUGUAACUUGGAAAUCCUGAUACUGCCUGCCUUUUCUGUCAGCAGACUGGUGGGGGCAAGACCUCCAGCAAAGUAAUGAUAAAAGGAGGAAGGUCACCUCCUCUGUUAGCACAUCUGGAUCAGGAAGAAGAUGAUUUACUAUCCUCACUCUAAACUCCUAUUGAAAUGAACAAUCCUUUUCCUCACAAAGGGCUAGUGGCUCUGCUGCAUAUUUAACUGAAAUGGUAGUAUGGUCAGUCACAUAGCUGAAGAUCUAAGAACUAUAAUAUGAUUGAACUAAUUGCUUCCAGAGGGCAAAGAAACAGAAAGAAGCUAUAAAAAGGUAUGCAGUAUUUGAAAAUCAGUAAAUCAGUUUUUUUUCCUUCAAAUAAUACUGCUUGUAGAGCUUUAAAUGCCAGAUGGAACGUAAAUUGUUAACUAUUAUUUCUUGUAAGUGUUCAUGUUUUCUGUCCUCUGUUAAAUCUUAAUCUCCAUAUGUUGGUUCAUGCUAACAGCUUCCACAGUAAAAUGCAGUACAUACAAGUGGGCAAAAUGAUGGUGUGUUCUGAGUAGUUACAGUCAGUUGCUAACUGUUGAUGUUGUAUUCAACCUUGUAACUUUCUAAUAUUGAGAUAAUGAGCAAGUGCAAAACUGUAUUAACUCUUCUUUUGUAGCUGCUUGAUCAGUAAGUAGCUGGUUAAAGGAAAGAUUCCCACUAACUUUAGUGGUCUGUGAAUCAAGCUCUUGAUAUAUAUAGAAGGUCCCUGAAAACAAAGUUUUAUUUUUUAAUGUAUUGUCUCAUUUGUUGAAUAGCAUGGCUUACUGCCCAGUGUUAUGGCAGUUCACAAUGACUAUUCUUCCCACCCAUUCUCCUUCUCCUCCUUCCAUUAAUCAGUGAUGGGUUGAAUUCAAAUGUUUUGGAAGUUCAGCCUGGUUUUGAUGUGAUAGUACAUAAAAAUAUCUACAGAGUAGUUAUUAGGGUGCUUGGUGUGGCUGCAUUUGUCCCGGGGAAACCUCCCCCUUCUUUCUGAGAGCAGCAGCACAUUUUGUGGGAAGGUUGGCAGCUCUACAAGGUCCUCUUUGAGGCAGGCUCCACUCCCUCUGCCCCAGUGGUACAUCCAUCAUUUUUGGUUUUCCUUUCCAAAAUGCUUUUCACAAAAGUCACUUCCUUGUUUCACAUUACUCCAUGCUCUGUGAAUUCACACUGGAACAUGCUGCGAACCAGAUCCAUAUCUGGUGUAAAUCAGCAUCAUCCUGCUACUCUCAGUGGAAAUACAAAACUUGGUAUCUACGGAGGUUCUUGUCCAUGAACUCUAAGCAGACGCUUUUGGUAGAGAGAAAAUGGGUUUGUGUGUUCUGGGGAGAGGUACUGGAAGGGGCAGCAAAUGGAAAAUCCUACCUAAACAUUAAGGAGUUUAUCUUCACUAACCUUUCUAACGUUAUAAUUUUGGAUGAACUUCUGCUCUUUGUACCCUCAUACUGUCCAUUUCCAAGUGCUAGAAAUUGGUGUGGAAAAAAAGGGUCUGAGCUGUUGAUGCUGUAUAAAGGAGCUCAAUUAGUAUCAUCAUAAAAUAACUUUGUAUAAGCAUAUCCCCUGCACUCUCAUUUCUGUCUAUAACUGUUCAUGCUAAGCACCUAUUUCAAAAGCUGCUCCAAGUUUAUUCAAGGAUGCGUUUAGUCUGAUCUGCAGCAUUUGUCACUUGUUGGCCAAAACUGACAUAAGGGAUUUAAAUGUGCUGCUUCUAACGUGGUGACGCUGCCUUUAAUUUAGCAUAAGUGAUUAUAUAUGUUUGACUGUCAAAUCACUGUAUGUAGCUUUUGUGGUUGGGGGACUUGUUUUAUCAAAGAAUUCUGCUGAACCUCUUCCAAACCAGAACUCUCAUGUGUAUAAUUAUAUUGUAUUUUCAUUAUAUAAACUGUAUUUUUAAGACUGAAAACAUAUGAAAUGAUUAUGGGAACGUGCAUUCUAUACGACACCACCAAGUACUUGUGGGAAGAGAAGCUUAUAACAUAAACCAAAUGUUGUCAUUAGUAUACAGGUACAAGAUGCAUCCUUGUGACCUGUGAAACUCUUAAGGAUGAAAUAGAAGGAUCUGCAAACACACGCAAUUGCACUUCAGGUUGAAUGAAAUUUAUAGCAAACUUUACUUUGCAGUGAAUAAACACCUCAGUGGUACUUAAUGGAAGUAGAUGUCAAAUAUUCACAGCUCGCUGUUGAGCCUGUAGCCAAGUUAGGUGCUUUCAAAAUACCUUUCAAAGGGAUACUUCUGCAAAUGCUUAUUGCUUCUUUAAUGCGUCUAAUAGGUGUAAAUACAAUGCUGUAAGUAUUUUGGUGUUUUAACCCAAUUGUUUUUCUGGGAUUAUGUCUUUAGUUUACUUCAAUUGUAUUGCUGUAACUGGAAUUAGAUCCUCAUAGGGUUCAAGUAGGUGCCACAGAGACCAGCCUUUUGAGACAUCUGCAAUACAGUAUUGAUUAAGGCAGAGACCAAAAUCAUGUCCAAUAGCAAGGUCUGGCUAAGGGAUGUGAACUGCGUCAGUUCUGAGCAAAUCAUCAACACUAUUGUGUCAGCAGAAUGUGCUUAUUCAUAGAUUUAUUAUUAUCGUUAUCCUCUUAAAAGGCUGUCAAGCAUUGUCCUUAUGCUUAAAAACAACAACAUCAGAACCGAAACAUCAUGUAGAAGUAAGCAGCCUACUGAGAAUAUACCAAUACAUGUGUCCAUAGAGUUCAGUGCUUGAAUUCAAUUCUCCUUUUGCACCCUUACGCUGUUGCCCUAAAUAAUAAGCUGUCUGUUAUUCCUAAUGCCUUUGGUGGCUCCAUAGAGAGUAACCUUGCUAACUUUUUUUCCCCGUCUCAGUAACUUUAGCUUAAUUAACAGUGAUUCUUAAAAAUAAAAAAAUAGACCUCAAAGGGUAGAAGGAAUCCACAGGGUGUUUUGUGAAAGUGAAUCACUGCAUGUUUGUGUGUGUGUGUAUAUACAUACAGAGUUACAUAUGUUCACGCAUGCAGAAAACCAGAGAAAGCAUCUGUCAUCAGAACUAUCUGUGAGUCACCUCAGAUAAAUGCUGUUUCAAGGCAAUCCUAUGCAAUAGAUUAAACAAUGUCUUCAGUUUGUGGCAGAGAGUUUAGGCCCAGUCAUUUACAAGCUAAAAAAUAGGUCAAGGAAUAGUGGUGAUAACUUGCCUUAUCGCCGGGCUGUGUAUGUGAGACCAUUGUCAUCCGUAGCUCCUGAGCAGUGUGCUGAUGUGGGUGCUGAGCCCUCUGCAGAGCUGGCAGCACAGGAGUCACUGAUGUUACAGUGCUGCAAACCUGAGCAGAAAAAUCAGGGCUGGGGUCUUAACAAGAGGUUUUUUUUUUAUCACAAAUGUUGACAAGGACAACAAAUGCAGAAUACCUGAGUUCAAUGAAAUGUCCUGAGUUGCCAGAGAAACCAUCUGAAGGCAGCUUUGCAGACUCAGUGCAGCAAAUUCCUGCAGCACAUUCCAGAAGUCCCCAGCCUGAGUCACUCUGAGCUCAAUUGCAGAGCUUGGAAGCUGAUGAAUCACUGUUGAGCAGUAUGUAUGUUUUUAUAAUCUUUGCUUUAAGUAAUGUCCAUUCAAGAUCUAAGCUAAUGACCAUUGGAUAAGGGUGCAGAUGGAAUGUGGUUUCCACAUUUGGAAGCCUGCUGUGAUGAAUCUGUUCUUUAAGUGUGUUUAUGUUUGAGGGACUUUGCAUGCGGGCUAUCUCCUCAAUGGCAUGUUAAACUCUGCUCUCCAAGGAGAAGAGUGCAAGAGAGGUAGAAGGGGGAGGAGAAGAAUCCAAAAGAGUGGAAAAAGCUGUAAAAUGCAUUUCUUUAGAAGCACUGAAGUUGAUUUUUUUUUUUUUGCAAGGUUUGAAGCGUCCUUCUCAUUCAAGGGAGCUCUGAUAACUCACCACAGAUUAUUACAGUGUUGAGGGGUCCGAACCUGCGGAGGGGGUCACUGUUUUCAGUAUCUUCAUGAUGAAUGCUGUUUGUUUGUAUGCUGUGUUCAAACACUGAAAUCAUUCAAAGCGCUUGCAGAUUUUUGCUGAGAUUCUAAGCUUUAUUAAUUUUACACAGUCUCCUUCCUUCUUUCUUCAUCUCCAUGCACGUGCUUUACUUCAGCACAGCAUUUAGGCACAGCUCCCAUCACAGGCGUACUUCCACUGGAGAUGACUCAUUCACGUGUGGUGUUCUGCAGACCCACUUCUGCAGCUUCUUACAGUUCAUACAAUCAUUAAGGUUGGAGAAGACCUCUCAGAUCCUCUAGUCCAACCACCCACAUGCCACCAGUAUUGCCCGUUAAACCACGUCUCUAAAAGCAUAGAGAGUUUAGUUCCUAAAGCACGGAGAGACUUGAGCUGGAAACGUAAUGAUUGGUCUGAAGACAACACGGGAUUAGCCUCGGCUUUCCUCCCAAACUAAUGUAAACAAAUUCCCUACUCCCGAAAUAACUCGCGAGAUACCUUUUCCCCCUCCUCGCCCUGAAGUAUUCCUCUGUGCUUCCUGAUUUUUGGCAGGGACGUUUCAGAAAUAGCUAUUACAAUGAUGUUUCCACUCUGAAAGAGGAAGCGCUGGGUGGGAGGAGUUCGGAGCGGAGCAGAGGAAGCGAAGCUGUUUUGUGCCAUCUCGGGCUGAGCUUCCACAGCAGAUAGGUGGGAACGCAUCUGGGUGCUGAGCCACCAGAGCCCACCCUCGCCCGGCACGAGGCCAAACGUGAGCACACAAGGCAUGGCAUGCGUGGCCCCUCGUAUGGCUCGGCACAGCUGAUGCUGACAGCUCGGCACUGCUGAGCAGAGUGAAUGAGGCGAGGUCAGGAGGAAGGCAGCAGCGGGCUCCCCUCCCUGCGUUGUACAUGAAAGGUGCUGCCGGGACGGCUCGCCAGUGCGGCUUUGUGUGCAGCAGUCAUGCUGGAGAAGCUGCUCUGUCACAUGUUUGUCAGCCAGCCAAGAUUUUAAUUCUGAACUUUUCCAUGAAACCAAUAGCUAUAUUCUCUGGCUCUGGCCCGCUCUAGUGCUUGGCCAGGGCUAUGGGAAUGAAAUGUCAAAGCAGCCUGUCUAUGAAUUGAGAUUGCUUUCAUGCGUCUCCACCUGCUGGCUGGCAUUUCACUAAUUGCAGUAGCCUGUAGGGAUGACAGUGGACUUUUUGAAGCAAAGGGCUCACGUGGGAAGCGUAACUCAGCUCUAUGAGGAGACAAACAAAUGAGUGUGAUCAAAGAGAUCAUUUCUAACUUGACAAAGAGUGCUGUCCUGCAUCACAGGUAGAAGGCCACUGAGGUUUUCAAGCCACGCUUUUGAGCUUCUGAAGCCUCAGCUGAAAGAUAAGCACUAAGAAGGAUUUUUUUUGGAAGGAAUUCGCCAAGUGUGGAGACAUUAACAUAUUAUUUCACGACUAAAACCAGAUGCUGAGGAUGCUAAUGUGCUCUCAUUGACACAGUGAAAGAGGGAAAUAUUUAUUAAUAUCUGGAAGCAUGAGCAUUCUGGGGCCCGCAGCCUAGUUUCUGUGUGGUUAGGAAAGCAGUUACUUAGCAAAUGUGGGCAGGCAGCUGUUUUGAAUGGAAAGGAAUAGAAAUGAUUAAUGACUUUUAUGCUUUAAAGAAAUGAACCCACAGGAUUUCUUUCUUCUACUGUGCUGUCCCACUUGGCCAUUUCUGUCAUGUGCUCUGGGACUUUCUUUGGAAGUUUUCAAUGGUCUGUCUUGAACUACUCUUUAGAAACUUACUGGACCAGAUCUGGAGCCAGACAGAUGCCAGCUGUGGAUCUGAUCCAUUUGCACGUACAUUCACAGGCUCAGAGCACAGAUUACCAACACUUGAUAUUCCAUGAACUUUGCACCACGCCCGCAAUAGAAUAUCUUGCUCUCAGAUACUGCAGUGAUGGGUGCAGUAUUAAAUCCUAUGUAGAGAAGAAUUUUCCCUUUUUCUUAGCUGCAUUUUGUUUGGGCUAUAUUUUACAAUGUGGAAGGCAAGAGGCAUUCUCAGGAACUGAAACAAUGCAGGGCAUAAACCCUUUCUUUGAUAAUGUCUGAUGUCAAUACUGAUUAUUGAUGUUUUACCAUCUUCUAUACUCAUGGGUUGUUUCAUUCUGCCAAACUGCUCUGUCAUCUGUUUCUUGUGUAUGUGUUCAUUUAGCUCCUUAGGUCUUGCAUGUGCGGCAACAGAAGGUGGGAGGUAGAAAAGGUUAAAAAGAAGAUGAGGAAGAGAAAGAGGAACGUGGAGAAAAAGAAAAAGGAAGGCUGUACAAAACACUGAUAUUUUCACUGAAUUGCUCACAGUGAAUCAUUCAGCCAGUGUUGCUGAAGCAGUACUUACUGGGGACGAUCCCAUUGUCCUGGGAGUUGACUUUAUGGAAUUAUUUCCAGUAUACUUCUGUUCUGUGCGUGAUUUGAUCCGCUGAAGGUUCCGUUCCCCUAUUUUUGGAUUAUGUGUUCAGAGUGCCAAAGUGUGAAAUAGGAAUGAUUUUUAUUCCAAAGUAUUCCUCCACUUCAAAAGUGUUGUUCCAUAUUACUAAGCAUUGGGAACAGGAUUUUAACUAUAGAAAGCGGUGAAGGUGCCCAUUACAUAUCUGUAUAAUUAAGCACCAUCAAGCAUAUUUAUUCCAUAGCUAGACAAGUAACAUUGGAUAUAUUUGGUUAUUGUUAGCACUACACAUCUGACUGAAUUAGCUAGCUGUGUGAACUCCAUGUAUCAUGUAAUUUAGAAGGUGUAUGAGUUUAAUACAUCCUGAAUGCGUCUAAUACCUUGGCUAAACACAGGCACCGAGCUAGAAAGAGUUCUCGUAGAUCACUUUAAGACACAGCAGGACUGGAAGAUGAUAUUUCCUUGUCUGCAAGUAUAUCACUCUCAAGCCAUCGUUUCAACACAGGAAGUUAUCUGCUACCUGGGGUAACAAUGUGCGCUUGAGCACAAUUGGUCUGCUGUCUGAUGACAUUUAAGAAUUAGCCACAUAAGGAUUUCUUACAACACUGUCAAAGUAGUUCAACUGAUCAUUUUAACUGAGCUUAUUUAAAAUUCCUGAAUAUACUGGUGCAAAAUGAAAGUAACUUUUGCACACUUGCACUGCACGCUUCACUUACAUCAGUUAUUUCCAGUCUAGGAGUGAAGACUCAAAUGAGUAGUGCUUCUCUUUCUGUGUGUGUCUCUCUAGAUGCUUGCCAGGUGGACAGCUGAAUUAGCACUGGUGCCAUUCAAAUCUUCUUACACAAGGAUGAGCUUUAUACAUGUUUGUAUGCAAAAUUCCACGUAGAGUGGGAUUCAGACCUAUGUUCAGACCACUUCACUGAAAGCAGCAGCUGGUCCAAUAGCCUGAAUCUUCUUUCAGGGGCUAUUUUGGAGACUGCUAUCACUCAGGCGGGAAGUAUGAUUGUGUAUAUGAGUGUGCAUUUCUGUGCUGCUGAACAUGUGAGGAACGGACCUAUUUUCUCAAGUUGAUUCUUACUCUUCUUUUUUUUUUUAACUGCAAAAUACUUCCUGAAAACCUCUCCCUGGUAACCUUGGAGGGUACAGCAACAGGCGUGGUGGUUUUAUUCCUACCUGGACCAUCUAGUUGAUGUGCUUAUGGAUGAGUUUUGUCCUCUCUUGUUUUUCUGACCUUUUUUAGUUUUCAGACCUGUGCAUCACUGAAGUAUUCAUCAUCAUCUACUCUUGUUUGACACUGUCUCAGUUAACACAACCUUUGGCUGUCAUAUCAGAAUGUCUUUAAAGUGUCCCCAGUGAAAGGUCUCCUUGUAGUGCAGUAUUUCUGCAUGAAGAGGUGUGUGUGUGUGUGUGUGUGUGUGUGUGUGUGUGUGUAAAAAAAGCUAUGAACUUGAUAUGGUUUUCCAAAGUGUGUUGCUGCUAAGCAGUAUGUGAGGCAGGUGAGGAGUCCUUUGUAUCGUUUGCAAAUAAGUCACAUACCAGUUGGUGUUCUUGGGCCUUACGAUUGCACUCCAAAUGAAGAAACACUGAUUAUGAAUGUUUCCCUACAAAUACCCUUAUUAGCGUUUUUGUUUUGGCAAGGGAAUUAUUACCUGCAAAUCCUUUGCCAGUCUCUGGGUAUAAUAAUGAAUAAUUGUGAUGGAAAAUAAGUCAGUGGGAAAUAGAUUAUCUGAGAGGCAAGUGUCUGGUGAGCUGUGCAUUACUCUGAUAGGGAUUGUCUAAUUGUACGAAAGACUAUGAAAAUGGAGCAGAAAAGUGGGCAAUCUAGGUAGAAAAAGACAGCGUGAAGUCGUCUCACAGGUAGUGUGCUGUUUGUGAUAUUAAUGUAAAUGAUGCCUGACAAGACAGCCAGCGGUGUGCAUCUCUGCAGAAUGACUGGAAGGCCAGUUUAGGCAGAUGGCUUUGAGGUGACUCCUUGCAGUGAAACCUCAUCUAGGGCAGGACUGGUCCCUGUCUCACAUGGGCAGCCAAGGAGCAGAAGGAGGCAAGCCACCUUUUGCAGGUUCUGGCUCAGAGCAUUCUCUCUCUGCGUUCUGCAAGCUGGGGCUUGCAAGCAGCGGGGCGGAAGCAAGCUGUACUCUAGCAGCACAAAUAUUGAAGUAACUUACUUCCCCGGCUGGAGCAAGGAGGAACCGUGGAAGGAAUUGCAGCUCUCUGAGUCACACUUCCUCCUUGGAGUUUCUCUUGGAGUAGCGCAGUUCUGCACCAUGCUGGAGGCUGACACUAGAGCUAUGCUGGUCCAUCCUCUCACCCCUAAAGUGACAGGGAGAAAGAACGAGAGGAAGGAGAAAGACAGUGAGGCACUGGAUUAUCAUACCCUCAGAUCUCCCGAUUGCAGCUCUAAAUAUAGCCAAACAAGUAAAAAUCUGCUUUUGGAAGUGGUACAACUAUGUGGCUCCCAACCCUUCAAACAACAUGCAUGCAGAAGGCAGCCAGUCCCCUCCCGACCAAGAUGCUGGAUGGGGAACCAUGCUAAGCACAUUCUGAUCUCCAGCCAGAAAGUGAAAAAUUCCCAACUGCCACACCUACCAGGGUGUGACCAGAGACUAUCAACUAGUUUAUAUUUGCACUUUGAUACACAGCACAGGCUUAACAUCGUACGGUGUAUCCCUGGAAAAAAAUAGCAACAAGUUUCAACACAGAAAUUCUGUUAGAUUGGGAGGCCAGAAUAAAUAAAAGCCGACGAGUUGUAGAAUGACUCGAGGUAGAGUAAAAGAUCUCAUCUCAAAAAUAACACCAAGGCAGUGUGCUGCAGAUGAAACACAUAAUGAAAAAACAUUCCAAACUUCUCAUUUGAGAAAAGAUUACAAAUAAAAUAGGCUCGGGCAUGCCAAGUGUAAAAUCUUUGAUAUGGAAAUGCAGUAAUGGUUAAACGAAAUGGGCUGAAAAUCUAUUUAUCAACAGCCUGUAAUGCCUUGUUGGAUCGUCCCAUGAGAAAAGCAAAUAAGGAGUAGUAGGAGAACAUACAGACACUGUUAAAAGGUUUACAUACCUCCCGCCUUCAUACCUUGAGACAUAGUCCUUCACCUUAACUGGAGAUAUCUAAAGGUUUAAAUGCUGGUAUGAGAGCAGGGUUUGAGAUGCACAGCCUGAGACCCAGCUUUUCAGAAGGGCCCGAAUGUUUCUGGCUUGAGGUGUCUGAAAGGAACCUGCUCUCUAGAGGGUGACAGGGAGUGAAGGCACCAGCACACCGGGGGGCACCUGGGGUGACACCCUUGGGCAGGGGCAUCUCUGCCAUCCUCACCAAGGCUGCUGCAGAUGAAGAGCUGGGCCACAGCACUGCACUGCUGGCUGAAAGUGGCACCGCGCCAUUCGUCUGCCUCACUUCUCUCUUCAUUCACAGUUUUCUUUUGCCAGUGGGCAGUAAGUCAUUACCGAGCCCUACAUGUGAAUCACGAGUGCCGUGGAAAUUAAACUCCUUGACCUGCUCACGUUUUUCCCUUUGAUGUCAGUCUGAAUAGGCAUUUUUGACUGAAACGUAGUUUUAAUUUUGAGAGCUAGCAAGACAACCACAACCUUCUCUGCAAGGAAGUUCUCUGAAGAAGUCUUUGUUGUUCUUCCCAAAUUACUUUCCUAGAGACAGAGCGUCGGCAUGCAGUGCUAUGGGGGGCCAGAGUGUGCUUCUGCCAUCCACAGGCACAGGAGAGAGAAAAACAGCUACUGGGCUGUACCCCAGAUGUGAAGGGACUAGCCAUGGUGUUGGGGACCAAAAUCUGUGCCCUGUGGGGAGCAGUAAAGUGGAGAGACCCCCAGCCCCAACCUGCAAGAGCUGGGUGCUGGAGGUGUGUGGUGAGCCAUGAAAUCAUUUGAGUUGGAAGGGGCCUUUAAAAGUCAUCUAUCCCAACUCCCCUGCAAUGAACAGAGACACCUACAGCUAGAUUAGGGUGCUUGGAGCCUCAUCCAGCCUCUGUGUGAUGAGCUGGCAUGGGACAAAGCAGCACGGCUGCUGAAAUAGGGGUGCUGCUGUUUCAGAGGCUGGGGGUUCAUAUCCCCAACAGGUUAGGUAAUGUGCAAGGCAUCCAAUAUUAAAUUUCCGUCUGAAAUCAUACAAUGUUUUGAUGAAGCGCUGCAGAGACAUCUGUUUUGAAAUCUAGUUUCCCAUCUUACUGUUGCUGACCUGUUUAAAAUAAUAAAAACAGAAAGCUUUCCAAGAUGGAUGACACUGGGGCCAGGGAUAAAAACCUCACUUGUGUUUCUAAAGGCUCUUUCCAUGCUUACAAACCUGGUUCUUGCAUUCAUCAAACACAGAGGACUCUUUUUUUUUUUCAUGCUGUCAGCCAGGAAACUUCAGAAAGGAAGAUGCCCAGGCCACCAAUGCCGCUGGUCUUUUUCAUUGCUUUACAAUAUGGUUCUGAAAGCUGCAGGGUUUCAGGUAAACAAAUAUUCCGGAACUAUAAAAUAUGAAUGAAUUCAAAUUAUACAUCCAUGCUAUUUAAAGAAAGAUUUUCUUUCAGGCAUGUGGCUAUUUGGGAAAAAUAAUUGUUUUGUUCAUCGAUCUGUAAUUUGUCUGUUGGGCUUUUCCUAGAACAUUCAGCCUGGCAAAGAAGCAGAAAACAAUUUUAUGGCUGGGAAGAUGGCACAGAGGUUGACUUGUUGGAAGCUCUGGGCAGCCUCAAGGACUCACAGAAAGUCAUAUUUAAUAGCUAAACUGCUGGAAAAAUAAAUUUUCUUUGCUGAUUCAUUACACUAACUCCACAGUUAAGAUUACAAGAAGAACAGACCAUUUAUUUUGGGCCAAAUUUUCAAACCUUCUCAAAUCCACAAGUAUAGCUGAUUGACUGCAGAAUGUAUCCGUCAAAGCCUGGUUCACAAAUUUGAGGUUCUUUGGUAAAGUUGUAGGAAUAGCACUUCAAAACCUCAUGAUUUUCAGUCUCCUUAUGAGAUCUGCUUUCAGCAGAUAAAGAGAAAAGAAACAUUGAGAAGUGUCUGCUAGUCACAUCACUGCACUGCUUCGUGUCGGAGGAGGGAAAGGCCAAAGCUUUAGAGCUGUGAUGCUGGAUGAUGUCGCUGCAGGAGGUCUCUUAAAACAGAGUCAAGUCACCACACACCGGCCACACUGUAUUUCUGUGGAUGUCUAAACCUUUUUCUUCAGCAGGCAGAAGGAGCCAGCAAGCAGUUCAGUUUCUGCUUUGAUGAUUUUAUUUCCUAUGUGCACAAGUAUGUGGUGUAAACUGUUCAGGAGAUGCUAAUGGUGACAACAGUAGCUUAGUUAUUGAAGACAAAGUGUUUGCUAGAAAAGUAAGUUUUUGGGGCUUAUUUCCAAGAGGUGAUGCUAUACUGGACAGCCACUUUAACCUGAAAGAACAGGCUAUUUCUGGAUAUAUAUAUAUAUAUAUAUAUAUAUAUAUAUAUAUAUAUAUAUAUAAAAAACACACUCCCCUUGCCAUUAUACUUUAAAGGUUUUUGCUACAUAGCUUAUUCAUCAUUACAAAAAGGUGUAAUGUAUCUAGAUUUGAGGAAGGACAAAUGUGAACUCAAGCAAUUGAAAGCAGCCAACAGAAACUGGAUGUUCACAGACGUGUAAGCUUGAGGCCUUGAAUUUUUGCGAGUAAGGCAUCAUUCAUCAUUAUAGAAUAGCUGUGUUUCACACAGGUGAGAUGGAUGGAGCCAGGAGAAAUCAACAGCUCUAGCUAUGACAUGCUGUGCUGCAUUCAAAAAAGAAUGAAUGCAAUGUAGAGAAACAAGAGUCCAGAACUAUCCCAUGUAUGAGAAGUCUUCUGGUAAAAGACGACGUUGUUGUUUGUGCUAGGGAAUAAAUUGGGUACCCGUCUUCUCUCUUUGCUUCUGAGUCCUGCCAAAUAACUCUUAUAUGGUGUUGGGCAAGAGGAUUCGGUUUCUCUAGGUCUGUUUCUGUAACACAGAUAAUAAAGAAUGAUUUCGUUCUUUAGUCCUUUUCCUCUAUGUGAACAGCAAGCUGUUCAAGACUGGGCUGUCUUCACUGGGUGUGCGUGCAGCGCUUAGUGCGGAUGGCUCUCAGUCUCAAAUGUGGCCUCUAGGCACAAGGGUAUUACAAAAAUAAUUAACUGAGAAGGUGUAUUUAUUUAGUUAAUUGUAAUAACUUCAGACAGGAUAUUGUACCUAAUUUUAGCUAAGUGUAAGUCAGUUCACAUUCAUUAAUUGGCCUGCUCUUUCCCACCUCUUGCUUGUGACAAUAUUGGUUCACAAGCAGGAUGUCAACACGCACAUGGUGUUUUCUAUUGUGGGCUUUUUUUUUUUCCCUGUGAAAUGAGCAGGUGAGGGUUCCUUACUGCCUGGAAGUUAACUGACUUAGAGCAUAUCUUAAAUAUAUGCAGUUCCUCCCAGCCUGUGAGGAUGCGGAAGGACUUAAUACAACUAAACAACUUUGGGAAGAACUCCUUAGUUGCUAAGAGGUGUGUUGAAUGCCUGCUGAAUCCCCUUAGCAGAGGCAUCCUCCUGUGCCUCACUGUCACGAUGUCUUCAUCUUACUCUCACAGAAACACAUUUUAUUUUCCUGGAGAAAAUCAUAUGAAAAUACAAAGCAAUGAUUCAGCAACCAAUGAAGCCAGGCAGAAUUUUUUAUUUGACCAUGAAACAUAUAAGGACCCUUUCUGGGUCUUCUGGGCACUUUCUCUCAAUUCCUGAGCAUCCUCAGCCUAAGUUGUAUUUUCACAUCUUAAGAUGCAUUUAGCACCUCACAGUUUUCACUUCUGUGACAUAUGGAUGUAUGUUUUGUUUAGUUCAGAAUGAUUGCUAGAAUGCUUGAUUGUUAUUUGGUGCUAAAUAUUAGCAUAGCUUUCCAGAAAGCUGUCUGGUAUGCUGGAAGUCUAAGGGAACUCAUCUUUAGAGAGUACGUUAUCGUAAUGCUUAACUGAAGAUCAAUCACGUGGUUCCUGGUAGCAUCCCAGAUUCUGGUUAAAUUCCUUUUUCUUUUUAAAGAAGAAUUCAAUGAAUUUUCCUCUCCAAGUGCUCAGCAACCUAAACGUUACAUAGAGACAUCAGAAGUCUUUUAAUGCAGGUUUUCAGAGUAAAUGAAACCUUUUUUCAGUGUGGUUGCCUUUGUAAUAACAGUCUUCUUAUUUGUUGGAUACUUAUGUAACGUAAGAUGAAAAGACAUUUUAUAGCCUUCUGGCAAGAGGACUUAAAAUUAACAGCAUACCUGUGGCUGCCCUAAGCCAGGGAGGGAGUCAUUUUCAGGCCAUGGGAAAACUGCAGUUUUGCAUCCUUCACUUCUUCUGACCUACUGCUAUUCAGUAUUUCCAUAGGCUUGUUUUUCAUGAAAGCAUCAUCGCGCACACAAAGAAAAACUAAGUAAUGGAUCCUGAUGAAAGAACAGAGGCCGAGGUGGUAUGGGAUAGCUGUCACCCAUUAACAUCUCCCCCAAGAAUGUGGUGGUUUAACUUAUUCUCUCAUUUUAUAUUUUCAUGCCUGGCUGAGCCCUGGUGUCGCACAUGGCUGGCUGGCUCUGUGCAGGAGCCACCAGGCCAAUUUGCUCUGGCAACAACUAACCCAAGGCCACGCGGUGCCCGCUGCAGCCUGAAUCGAGGCCUGCUCUGUGGCCAUGUCCUGCAGCAGUCCCAGGCAGGCGGCCUCCGCCAACCCUAGGCAGGGUGUUUUGUUUUGCACAACAGUUGAUGGCUUUCACGUUUCCUCCCUGUCGAUACGCAAAAAGGAAAACCACAAAACGAUAGCGAUCUGAGUUUGGUCUCACCUGUACGGGGCUGGCAGCCGUGCCAUCCCAUUGAGUUUGGCUCUGCUGCCCCACCACUCUUUGGGCUGGGCCUUCAAGCAGAUGUGAACUUGAUCAGCAUCAAGCCCGAUCUUUUUCAUGCCCGUUCUUGCUGUGAAUAUUUGUUUUCCCUUACACGUUUCUACCUGGAACCUGACUACCUCCUUGCAAAGUUUUGUUAUUUAAAAGUAAUCUGACAAUUGUUUUCAAAAAGAUAAUUACUCUCCAUCAGAAGUGUAGAAUGCUGCUAAUCCCCAGAGAAGCUCACCCAGCGUUUCCUCCUCACCAUGUAAGCAUAUCACCUUGGCUGUGUCUCAGGGCUUCCCAGAGCUCAUGUGGCAGUUCAUGGGCCCUCCAUGCUGUGGCUUUUCUCACCCCUGCCUGCGCUGGGGAGGGAUGUGCAGCAGCAGCAGCACGAGGACGGGGCAGCUUAUGUGGGAGACGUGUCAGGCCCUCAGCCACAAUCCUGCCUGGAAGAACAACUCUGCCCUCCUAAAAGCCCUACCAGACCUGCCAUGGCCCAAGCUGGCCGAGCCCCCAGCUGCACAGUUCAAGGAAGUAUGCAGCUAAUUGGUGUAUUGCCUCUGCUGGGGCUCAGGCAGGCUAAUGCUAGCACUCCCACGCCAGGCAAACUAGCGCUCCUUUGCUUCUUCAGCAUUCAGACUGUCAGAGCCUUUUCUCUCAGCAGUAACAAUUACCAACAACACUGGAGAUGGCGGUGGCAUUAGAUCUGAGAAUGACUCAUCACUGAACCAGCCCUGUCAAGCAAGAUAAAUACAAUUUAGUUGUUAGCUAAUCUAUUUUUGUUUGUGUUCUCAAUUCACCCAGGACAAUGAUUACAUUGCUGUCUAUCAUGCUAGCAUUAAGGAUAUUUUGCUACAACGUGCUUAGCUUUGUAAAGCGAACGUUUAUGAAUACAAUAGCCGUAUUUGUCUGUCAAUAUUACUUCACUGCUGACAUACCGCACGUCAGGUUUCUAUGGCAUGACAGAGACCCGCGCAGUAAACUAUUCUGGAUCUGGGGGAGUUAAGUUGUGGAAAGGCGCCAUUUAGUUUACCAGCAUUUCGGUACCGAGAAAUUUCACCUCAGAUAUACUUCUGCUAUCUGUCAUCUGCCAGUUUGUCUUUCCUUCAUCUCUACAACUGAAACCCGUGGUUUAAUACCGCGUUGAAUCAGCCUUGGACUUUGUCACAGUCUGACCCUAGAAGAAAAGCUGACGGGCUGCUCUGAGUGGGCUUGUAGGAUGCUUUGGCACUUCCAUGCUGAGCUUCAUCAGUGCCCAGAUCAGCUCUCAAGGUGCUCAGUGCCUCCCAAACUCUCCUCCUGAAACAAUCCAGGCUUUGGUAUGGCUUUGCAUUCAAGUUAUUUAUUUUCAUUGUAUUUCCUCUCCCUUUGUUUUUGUUUUUGUUCAGCACUUACUUAGCCCUUGGGAAAGCUAUUUAUGGAAAUUUCAGAUUUUCAUGAUAAAGAAAGUGUUUUGCAAUUAGAACUGGAGGAAACCAUUGAUCUCGAUAACAGGGUGAGAAACUUUCUCACUUGCAAGGUUGGCGAAUCCCAUUAGCAAUCGCCAAACUCUGCCAAACAGCAAACAAGCAAAGAUGCACGGUGAGGAGGAGGUGAAAAGUGUAAUAAAAAAUGCUGGUUUUCUCUGUUUGACUUUCUUGCCAAGCUGGCGCACCGGAGAAGACAUUUGCCAGCUGUCAUAUCUGAAGAAAGACUCAACUGAAAGAUCUCGCUACGCUCAGUUCACGAGCAAGACUUUUUUUUUUUCUCAGAAUCAGCCAGAUAACUGAUUAUUCUGUGCUCAGCGAGAAACCUUGUGGCUUUGCAACGUUUCACCCGGCGCGCUGCAACAACCAACAUCUCUGCUGCUGAAAGCUCUCAAACAAAAAUAUUCGGAAUAAACUUCCAAUACUUUGGAACCCUGCCAGUCGUGGGCAUCUUUCAGGAGAGGCAGCAGAUACAGGCUUACUGUCCGUUAUUAUGUUUGUCGUCUGCUGUGGUCCUUGAGGUUGCUUCUCGUAUUUCCAGCGGCCGUAAGACGUUCUUGCAGAGCUUACUGGUUAAUCGGGAUACGUUAAACAAGCUGCGAAGUGCUGUGGGAAACCAUUGCAAAGAUACUUAACAGACUGAUACACUACGCUAUGUCUGUAACCUCUUUCCAUCUGAUAGUGCCGUCGUUUUGAAUGGGCUGUGUGGGAGGCAGCCUGUUGCCCCGACCUGAGCUCAUGCCACAUUUCUCAGGCAGAUGCUUCCGUCUCCCCGACGUAACAUGCAGGCUAGACAAGGCUCACGGGAGGGAAACGUGUGAAGUAAUUCCCAUUCCCCCCUCUUCCAAGUAUGUAACACCGUUGUACUGCUUGUCAGAUAUGUUUUGAGACAAUAGUUUUAUUUUUCUCGUCUAUAACAUCAGGUAUUGUUAUCACUAUCAUUACUAUUAUUACGUAUUAUUGAAACCAGUCUGAAACUGCAUACCCAUAUGCAAUUGCAUCUGAAACACUUAGCUGAGAUGAGAUGAGAUAACCACGGUGCGCGAGGCUCAGCCAGCUGGAGCAAGGGGGCAGAGGACUUCCAAAGAGGAGCUGGGAUGGCGCAUGCAAAAAGCUCGUUAAAUGCGUCAGCUUCCCUCGCUGGAAGAGCAGGAAAGAUCCAGCCUGAGGCCAGGACCCGGCUUUCUGGGUGAGAAGAAGCACGGGAGCACCAAUGCCUGUGUCUGAGUGGCAUUUCCAGCCAAGUUCCUGGGCUGCGUGGCUGAAAUCUGGCAGAGACCACGUACUAAACUUGACCCCAAAGUGGUGUAACAGACCUGUGGCCUCAUCCUUACCCAACUCCAACGCCUGUCUGCACUUGAACUAAAUGUUAAAAAGUGGUAUUUCCUGAGAGCACUGUGAGGAGCCUUAAGGGCUGGCUACCGGGCAUGCAGUGAGAGCCAACAGCUGGCCUGGCCACUCUGCUCCUUAUCUCCAGACUGAUAGCAUCAAAGGUCUCAGCCUGUUCUGGCUGGGGGCUGGCUCUUGCCAGGCAGUGAAUGGCUUAUGAAGGUGCUUCAGCUUAGAUUUCAGGUGGGUUUCAGCACUGAUGCACUCACUGCAGUAGCAUCCCCAUUACUGAGGACUGGAUCCAAUGUAGGAUUUGGAUAUGUGAAGAACAAAUGCCUCAGGAGGAAAGUGGCCAUAAACCACUUGUGGCAGCUGCCCAGCCUGCAUCAGCAGCUUUCUGUGGAAGUUCCCACAAGUGUCUGUAUGAGAGCUCCAGGGAAAACUAUGGAACAGGUCCAGGGAAAAGGAAGGUAACUUUCUUAUAUAAAUGAAAUCAACACAUUUUCACCCACAUUUUUGCUUUUCAUUAAAAUGGAUCCAGCUGUGGAAGCACUAGCAAGGAAGAAUGUGACCUCAGGUCCCUGUUAGAGGGGUGGGAACAAUUGUAGUAAGGGGAAAUCAAUGCAAGAUCUUUUAUGGCCAAUACAGGCUAUAAAUUACAGACCUAGGCAGAUAAAGCAUUUAGAAGUCACACUUGCAGAGCCACGGUGAAGAGAUAACAAAGGAAAACUACACCAAAGUCCCAGUUCUUCAGCACUUAUGAUCUUAAUUAAAGGGUAAUGUAAUCAAUCUGGUGAUUAAUCAUAAACUUUUUAUUGAGGGAGAGUAGUAGGCAUUCCUACCAAAGGCACCAGCGCCCAUUUUGCUAUCAGUCUGUCUAACUCCAUUGCACUGAAUCCUUCCUGCUCUGAAAUAUCUUCAUGGACACCUGUGGACUUAUGUCAAGAUAAGAUCAGCCCAUGGAGAAAAACACAAGAUACUCUACCACCUACCUGGAGUCAAAUAAAUGGAUUCAAAUCCACAUUCCUGCAGGGAGGUGAGAAAUCUGAAUGGCGUGGGUAAUGCACAGCACUGUAUGCAUAAACUACACGUUCCUUAAGGACAUUAAACUUGCAGUCCCUCAGGGGAGGGCAUGAACCAUCACUGCUCCCUGCAGUACACAUGGUGGCACGAGGGACACCAACAAGGGACACCGCCGCCCAUCCUGCUGCACAGCACCGCCACCGAAGGCAAUGGAGGGUCUGGAAAAGACGGAGCGAUUGCCUGCCACAGCCAGCAAGGACAAAGUGGCCAAGAGUUUGUGCAUUCAGAUCCCUGUGGGAGGAUGGGAACAACCCCUCCAAUCCUUCCUCCACGAUCCUGGCUUUACUGCAAGAACCCAGCCACAAAGCUAAGCCGGUCUGUUUACCAACGUAACAGUCAGAGCAAGAGCUUACAUCAUAUUGGAGCAAACAAAGCCUGGGGGGAAAAUACCUCUAACUUAAGGUAUAUUCUGAUGUAAGAGUAAGAGCUAGCAGCAUUUCAGGGUCCUUUUGUAAUAAUAACUCCCACGCUGGAGCCUUAAGCAUUAAUGGUCUGUGAAAGCUAUUAUUUGAUGUUUUUAGCAUUGAAUUUCAUUCUGACAGGACUUCAUGAUACGUAUUACAGAAAAAAUACUGUUAACCUAAUCAUAUUAAUACCAAAUCUUUGUACUGUAAUAGCCUCAAACAUUUAGAGCAAGGCACAAACCUGACUUUUCAUAAAUACAGAAAGACAGAAGUUUUAAUGAUGUUAUUUUCCUACUGCUUCCCCGACUGCAUCUGUUAGAGUCACUAAGACCAAGGACCAUCAUUCCUCUCUUUUACAGACAGAAGAGUGGAAAAGAUGCUUGGCUUUCCAGGGCCGAACCCUGCACUUCUUAUUCCCAGGGACAGCCUCUUCAGGCAUUAUCAAUUUGUCUUUGUCUUUCCCUUUUUAAGACAUGCCUGGCAUAAGUUGCGUCUGAAAUAUAAUUCCUGAUUUCUGCUGCUGCUGACAGUUUAAAUUAUUAAGAGGAAUUUUAAAGUUCUUUUUAGGUCUCUCACUUUUACAUGACAGUUUUCCUUCCCGCAUUUCAGUUGGUUUUGGUAGUCUUGUCGGAGUCAAUUUUUCUUUCUCUUUAUUAAAACAAACUCUACGCUCUCUGCCUUUGAUGAGCUUCUAAAUGCAAAGGAAAGAAAAAAAUAUACAGGUAGUAAAUACUCUGAAACAUUCACCUAUGCAUAUAGUUCAGACAAAGUGAAUCUGCAUCCUCAUGUUGUCAAGAAGGGCCCUUUAAGCUUGAAACGAGAGCAGAUUCUUUCAAACUUUCCCAGAGAAUAGCAGUGACCUUGCAGAUCAGAUAACCCAUGGUCUACAAGAGUUCAAAUAUGUCAUCAGGACUUUAUUUUACUGUUCAGUGUUCCUCAGCCUAGUUGUUCAAGUCAGGCUAAUUCCAACCUCUACACCCCCAAAAAAGCCCUACAGGAGUGCACAAUGCCAGCAGAGCAGAGCUGGGUAUGAGCAAGGAUAAAUGAGGCCGUCUGUCAAAAGCUGGACUGUCAAUGAGAGGCUGCGAUCCGAUGGGCAAACAUAUUAAACCUAAGGAAAAUACUUGUUCCCCUUACUUCAUUCUCUAGCAGGCUGCAGCUCAUGAAAUCCAUCAUGGACUUCACGUUAGUACAGAAAUUGGCUCCAGCACUUCUCCACUGACUCUCGGUAUUAACUGAGACUUCUCCUGUUUUUAUAAGACAAAUACUUCUUCAUGUUGCUGGGGAAGCAACAGUGUUGCUUCCAAUUUGUUGUUGUACCAAUAGCAUUUGUCUCACUGCAGCAUGAGCCACUGCAGGGAAGAAAACCAGGACAGGACCAAUCACUUCCAGCAACACUAACUCUACAUUAGUUUAGCCUCAACUUCAAGCUGUACCCUAAGGCUCCAGCUCAGCAACAGGUAUCUUACUUUUGAGCUCAUGAGUAGUUCUGGUGCACUCAUGUGUUUUGACUUAAGCAUGUGCUUCAACCUCUUAUUGAAUGGGCUUCUAAAUCAUUUGAAAUCCAGCCCCAUUUCCAUCACUGAAAACCAUUGUAUUACAUCACUGGGUUGCUCCAGAAGUAGGGAAAAAAUAUUCUUGGUAUUUCUCGAGACAGUUUUACCGUUGUUAUGCUGCUGUUUUGCUGGGAUUCAGCUUCAGUAAACAGUUCCAGCCCCAGCCUGAAUUCAAAGCCAAAGCUGGGGUUUGAUGAAACGCUUGGGUGCUGGACUGAACGUGCUCCAACUAUACAGGGAUUUUGGAGAGGAGAGAUAAGGUGAGGGCUUUCAAGCAAAAAUGUAGCCGUUCCCCUUUUCCAGAUCCUCCCCUUCCCAGCGCAGUAUUCUGGGAAACUGCCUGCCCGUUUCAAGACCUGCUGCAAUGAGCCCUGGUGUCAUGGUACAAGGCAGGGAAUUUCAGGUUGGAACUAAGUAUCUUUUUGGGUUUGUUUAUUUCCCUUAAAUUGCCUGAAAUCUUGCUUUCCAAUGUCCUACCACUUUCCAGAGACAAUCUGUCAGAGGAUCCCAACCUCCCUCCAUCCAUCCAUGUGUCUCCGUAGCCCAAUGUGACCAUCGCUAGGGGAUUCCAGGGUUGCACCCUCUCUGUUUUUAGCAGCAUGCCAACUAUUCCCCGUUAUCAUCAUGUGGAUGGAGGCAAGACGUGCUGGCAGAGCCUUACCCUUUCUUGAGAGCCUGGGGACCCUACAGCACAGGCAACAGCAGGCUCCAGGUCCUUCCUAGGCCAAGACAAUGCUAGUACCAUGGAGAACCUUAUUCUUCAGAAACAAAGCAUCUCUGAUUCAGCUGUUACUCAAAACAGACAUUCAUGUUUUAGUAGGGCUUUCUGCUUUAACCCAUCUGAAAUGUAAUACCCGUUAACACAGAUGUUAGCACACCUUUGCCUUUUCUUUUUCCCCCAAGAAGAGCCCGCACUUUAAGGUUGUAAGUCUGAGCAAUUCAGUAAAUGAUGCAAAUACAAAUGAAAAUUAGCCAACAAAAGAAAUUCAAUUGAGUUUAAUAGGAGGCUAUUAUCAUACCUCGCAUUCUCUGCUGCCCUGGCACAGGUAGGAACCAACCACAGGGGACGGAACAGCUCUGUCUGCUCACAUAGCGCAUACAUACAAGGCAAACAGCAGCAGAAAACCCGGUUUAUUUGACUGUAGUCAUUAGCGCUACGCAUUACAGGGUCAGUGCCGCUUCGCAGAGCGCUCCGCGUGUCCCCCCGCUCCCCAAGGAGCAGCACCGCACGGGGCCCGACAGAUGUGAGCCCACCGCGGUGGGGUCCCUCCGGCCCUCGUGUCGCUCCGCCAUCCCCGUUCGGCAGCCGAGCUUCCCGAAUCGGGCCUACUGGCGUCAGCGGGGGGGGGUGGGGGGGACUGGGCUGGGCCGCGCCGGCCGGCCGCUGGGUGCCGGCAGGC
ensembl:lncRNA